rnacentral:lncRNA from 1 species
UAAAUAAAUUUUUAAAAACUUACUUUUUAAUUAGCAACUGCUGUUAUUUAUUAUAAAAUUUAAAGUACUUAGUGCGUUGACUAUUAUAUGAAAGGCUUGAAUUACAUUAUCUUAAAAAAAUUAAAUAAAAUAAGACUUUCCUUGGUCUGACUUGCUAUUAUUUAAAACUUUAGUAACUCUUAUAAUUAAAGUAUACCUUACUUUGAGGGACAAAUCCAUUUCCUUAGAAAUGAGUUAAGAUUCAUCAGUACUAGUACACAGAACUGGGUCAAUUAUGUUAGCCAUUUACAUUUUCCCAUAAUUUUACUUAUCACUCUGUAUCCAUAAAGUAUCCUUUCUGUCUCUGGAGAAUAUCUUUAGCCUGGGAUUUUCUACAGUUUGCACAAGUAGUUCAGAAAUGUUUGGUAAAUAAAUUCCAAGGGUUUCUUUGAAAUUAGUCCUGAAGAAGAGGUGCCCAUAAAAAUCUCUUUUUACAUUCUUUGGCAUGCCUAAGACUGCCUUGCAACAGUUGUCAUAGACAGUAAUUCAUAUAUAAGGUGUUAAGUUCUUAACACAUUCAAAGAAGACUGGUGACUCACUGCCCAAGAUAACAUGGUUGAGGCAGCUCCAGCAGUUUGUCGCCUAAGAAAAUUACAGAAGAAUGUGUUAGAGAAGGCAAGGUGAUCACUUUUACAGUAUUUUUUAUUAUUGCUCUCAUUAUUUAUUGUUAGUAAUAAUUACUAUUAUUGCCAACAACAAGCUACUUUAUUUCUAAAAAUUUACUUUUGCAGUUUGCAAUUCCUUUAUCUCCAGACCUGAAGGCCAAAUUUUAAUUGCACUGUAAUUUCCAAUCAAGUAACCAUGACACCAGCUGUUCUUGCCAGGCUCUAUUCUGUGGUAGAGGGGGAACCUGUGUUCUCUUUACAUGGUUAUGCUGGAAAGUAUAUGGAUAAGGCAGGGGUCCUGCCUGAAGUAAUCCCAGGGUAUUUUUAAUGUCCUUUAAUUGCCAUUCAGGAUGUAAGUCAGACACAAUUGGGUCUGGUCACAGUUUAGGACUACUGAGCCCUGUUUAUAUAAAGGUGAAUUUAGCAAAUAAAUCUGAAGCUAUUACUUAUGUACAAUUUAUUUUUCUUUAACAUCUAUUGAUUUCUAAGCAAUGUGAAACUAGUUCCAGUAUACUCUAUGUAUUAUAUGUCUUCAUUUUGUUUUGUUUGUGAUCCCUGGAUAGCAUUGGCAGUGAGGUGGGAGGAGGAGAUGUAAUUGAGAAUUUGACAAGGGCCUUGCUACCAUAAUCAAACUGAAACCUUAUCAGACUUAUUUGAAGUUUUCAAGAAGUCCGAUUUUCUUGAGGUUUGAUAAUGUUAACAGAUGAAAAGUAUAUGACGUUAAGUUUUAAGUCUGUCUUUCUAUGUAUUUGCCAUAAAAUUCUGUUUUGCAUUGCUUGGGUGAUGUAGUUGUGAACAUUUUAAAUUUACAUGCAAAUUUCAUAGUAGUCAUCUUUCCUUCAGGUCCAAGGAAAGUAUGGCAGCAGAUAUGCCUUCUGUCUUUUGCCUUGGAGGGAUUUUGACCUGACCUGAAGCUGGCGCCUAGUCUGGAGUCAAGAGCUGGAGAUUUCUAUCUGUGACAGAACUUUGAAACUCUUGCAGGACACUUUCAUUUCAACUUAAGGUAACUUGAGUUUAUAGCUUUGGCUUUAAAGAUUACUAAUGAUUUACUCAUUUCCUUACCAUUUAACCAGAGUGGACUUUUUCCCAGGAAGGGAUCUGUGUUUAUUUAGGGCCUUUGUCUGCGGAGGGAUUAAAAGGCAGCCCACCAGCAUUGUGAACUUGAUGGUCAUAAAAGGUCACCAAAACACACCAUAAAAACAUUCUUACCAUGGAAUUAAUUAUACAGUGUAAUUUUACAAAGCAACUUGGUUACUCCAUCUUACCCCCUCCCCCAUAUUUAAACAUUUCAACUUUUAAAAAGUAAAUCUUUGGUAUAAUUUUGGUUUAUGAAAAAAAUGUUUUAUGAUGUUUAAAUGCUGAGGAAAUUGUCAUGUGCAUAUGUACAGUUUAAUUGCUUAAAAAUCUUAAAAUUUUUGAAAUGAAAAUGAUCAUUUAUUGUUAAACUGUGGGAUGAAUAACUUGUUUGGGAGGAGGUUAGAGUAGUCAGAAGAGUUGGUUAGUAUUUCAUAGAACAGCUCAGUUUCCAAAAACCUAAGUCCAGCUAAGAAUUUAUCUGUGCCACCAGGUGGCAUUGCAUCCAAACCUGCUAAUGAUAAAAGGAUUAUAAAAUAUAUUAUUUUUUGUUAAAGAUAUAACGAUUUUACUUUUGAAGUUGACUGAAAACUACAUCUGAUAUCAAGGUUAAGUAUCUGCAAAGAAUUGAAAAGAUUUCUAAACUCUAAAUAUUUGUUUUUAGGUUGUUGAUAUUAAAACGAAAGUAAAUGAAAAUGAAAUAUUUGGAGGGGAUUGCUAUUUUUCAUUUAGUAAAAUAAGCAUUUAACAUUUGGCUUUUUUUUUUUUUUUUUUUUUUUUUUUUGCUUGUCUAAACACUGGAGAGGGGAAUCCAGCGUAUAAAAAUUCUCACAAAUAUUUCAAAUCCCCGCCCCCCACCAUGUGGCAAGAUUCCACCCCCCUCCCUGGGUCUUGUAAAAAAAAAAAAAAAAAAAGUGUCAGCAGGUUUUACUGUAUGGGAAUUUUUAAAAAGAGGGAGAAACCUCUGAAAGGUGCAAGUUGGUCCUUUUCACAAGCCUAACUAUGAGAUUCAUUAGGCAGUUCAUGUUCAUGUCUUAAAAGCUGUUUUUGGGAAAGUAAAUUCUUGAGUUUCCUGUACUGUUUUUCAGGGAGUCUUUAUAGUCUUUUGAAUCAGCUCAUUUUAAAACAGUGAUAAUGUAAAAAGCACAAUAAAAAAAGGCUCAUUAUAAAUUUUAUAAAAGUGUGAUUUUUUUCAUUAAAAUACGUAUUCAUGUUCUAUUUUUAUGAACCCAUAAAUAUAAGUUAAUAAACUGUAGCAGAAACAAUUAAAUUACUUAAUACAGCUAUCCAGGUGAUAGGAUAUGUUGUCAGAAUAAAUAAAGCUCAGUGUAUAUUCUAUUGAUUUUUAUUCUUUUAAAAAAUGUAUUCACCAUGCAGAGUGAUGUUUAAUGCUUAGCUUUGAUCAUUUAGCAAAAAGCUUAGUGCUACUCAUUUUAUACUCUUGCCUCUUCUGAGGCUUCUUAAUGUGCACAACCUGUUUUAAGAAAUGUAUAUGUUUUCAAAGUAAAUGUUUGACCUCCCACCUUGAUGUUCCCACUUAAAAGCAAAACCCUCCCCUCCCUUAUAUUUUGAAUAACUUGAUGAGAAUGUGUGUUGUACUAAAACUAAAUAUAUGCACCCUUCAGUAUUACCAAAAGAGACCUUUUGGUUUUAAAAAUUAGGAAAUUUCACUUUUGAAAGUAGUCUAGACAAAGGUACUCAUGACAUUUGACCCUGAAAUUUUUACUUUUAAACUUGAUGCAACAGUCUGCUUCUUAGCUUUGUUGUAUGCUAAUAUUUCUACUUAUUUAACAUCAAAAAGCUGUAGAGGUUUCUCUUUAUAGAUUAUGCCUGUGUUCUGGAAUUGCCUCCUGCUGUCCAUGAAUUGCUUCUUGGCUUGUUGUGUUAGAAUUUCUCACCAGGGUCUUUUGUGAGCUAUGUAGCCAACAUUAAAAAAAAAAAAAUCAAAUUUGAUAGAGUAAACUGGACUAGUAAAAAUUAUACUUACUAUUCAUAAUUAUAAUUGAGGUUUCUUGGCUCAGCAUAUCAAUUUUAUGCAGUAAGAGUAAGCACAUACAAAUCUCAUGUAAUGAUAUGCAUACAUAUAGUUGCCUACAAUGACUGUUUUUCUAGUUAUUUCUAUAAUAUUAAAAUGAUUUUUUUGCUGAAAUUCCAGAAAUCUAAAAACAUUGAAAAAUAAUGAUAAUGAGAAAAACAAUUCUUACUUGUUAGGGUAUAUGUUAUUUAGUAAUGAAGCAUUUAGAUUUUGGAUUCUCUCAUUUCAGUUGGAAAUAGUAUUGGUGUAAGUGAGUGUUGCCAUGGGAACCUCCACAUAGAUAUAAAAGGCAAUACUGUCUAAGUGGAGGAGGAGGGGCGAUGUACUGAAAUACCACUGGCCUAAAUGAUCUAUUUUAUGUAUGUGUGUUGGUGUGGGGGUGAGAGCUAGGAUGAAAAGGGGAGAGAAAGUACUACAGAAAGUAAAUGUUAGCAGUCAAAGCAAUUUACUCACACUUUUGGAUUCUUUUAGAUAGAAGUGUUUUAAAGCUCGAAAUGUGAUUCUUAAUUAUUGGUAUCAUUUGCACACACUGGGGAGUCUUUGCAUAUCUUAUUUUUAAUGUACAGUGGAAUAUGUUUAACUUACUUGGUUUUAGAUAAAAUUUAAUUUAGUGAAAUUUGAGAGUUAGGAUUUCAGUCUUUGAAAUGGCUUUAUACAUGUUAUUAAAGAUGUUAUAUUUAAUUCUUUUUAAAUAUCUGAAAUUUAGAAAAACUGAUUAGGACACAGUUAAUGUGGCUUUCAAAGAAAAGCUGGCAUUUUGGCUUUAUAGUAUUUUUAAUACUAGAUUUUUAGUAAUUUUCUAUAAAUAUAUAGGCAAGGAAACAAUGACUUACUGUAUCUGCAUGUGUAAUAUUUUAUGGUUAAAAAAAUAAAGAAUGAAAACAACAAAACCUAACAUAAAAUCUUUUUAUAUCCCUUAGGAGCACAUAAAGAUUGUAGAGAUAGAGAUGAUUAGAGAACAACCAAUUUAACUGCAUGCAAAGUAACAUUUUUGUUUUUUGUAUGUUUAGGUUACAAAAAAACAAUGAAAUUGUGCCCAACCUGAGUUAGCCUGGUAAAAUGCAGCAGCAUCAUCAUUGCAGUUUUAACACUAUGGAUUCUGGUUGUCAGAUACAAAUAUAAAAAAAAGAAGAGAUAUUAACUGACAAAAACUGUUUAAACUUACCUUUUUAGUCAAUCCAGAGAAAAAGCUGCCAAGGUAAUAAAACAUCCAGAAGUUUUUAAGUUAAAACGAGUAAUUUAAAUUAAAAGGGGUGAGGGGGCAUGAGCAAGCAAGGGAGAAGAAAAAAGGGGUGAAAACGACAGGCACUUUGCUUCCUGGGCCUGGCUGUAUCUGAUGUAAAUUAACCAGCAGUGGGGAGUGUAUUGUUUCCAACUCCACAUAAACAAUGCUGGGUAUCUCUUUGGGAAUGGGUGGGUGCUGGGAUGGAUGGAGGUUGUUGAGAAGGGAACUGGCAAGCAGAGUUUAUAAUCUAUUAGUGGAUUUUUUUUGGCAUGCGAAACAUAGUAGGAAAGAGUAAAUAAUGAGAAAGUACGUUUGCAUGUAAAAUUGAUCAAGUGAAACCUUAAAAUGAUGUGAAAUAAUUCAUAAUUGUUAGAGAAUGCUUAUUUGUCAGUAAUCUUCAGGUUUAAAAAAAUUUUUUUUAAAGACUGACGCCUUGUAAUGUAAAACGUUCAGCAAUGAAGAUACCCAGUUUUAAGUGUACUUUUGGCAUAGUAUAUCAGCUUAGCUCUAAACAUGGCUUCUAAAAACUAAAAGACUAAGGAAACUUGUAUUUCUUUGAAAAAUAGGUAACAAGAGGGAUGAAAAGUCAAGUUUAUUUUUAAAAAUAAGAGAAUGAAAGUAAGAGCUACAACAUCCAUGUUGUUUUUCUGUUUCAGUUUUUGCCUGCUGCUUUUUCUUCCCUGCACUCUUUCUUGGAAUAAAAUCUGAUAGUCUUAACGGAGUGGAAAGUGUGAAAAUGCACACAGCCUUAUCAAUAAGUAGAUUCAAAACAUCUCUAAUCACCUUAAAGUUUUAUAGUGCAGAAUUUUCUAGAAGUCAACUGAUUAAUUAAGUACCUUUUGUGUGUCAGUUUAUCACACUGGGUUGUUUCUGUAUUUUAAAACAUUUCAUCCUUAUAGCAUCCCCAUGAAAUGCAGAUUAUCCUCUUUUUUUUUUUUUCAGUGAGGAAGUUGAGUCUCAGGAAGGCACAAUAGGACAAUAUGCAAUUUUAAGAAUUAGCCUGAUUUAGCAAAAAUAAGACAUUUUAGGUAGAGGAUUUUCAAUAUUAUUGCAGGAGACUAAUACAUUCAAGUUUGGAGUUUCUUUGGGUUGCUAGAAUAACUAAAAGGCUUUGGUUUGUUUCAUUUAAAAACAAAAUAGAGAAAAAUACUUUUUCUUGUUCUAUCGAUAUCACACCAUUCAAUGACCCCACUCCCACACAAUACCCACAAUCAAAAUAUAGAAAGAAUUAUUAGCUAACCAAAAAAAGUUCACAUAGGUAAUCUAAAGUAAUUUUAUUUUUGGUUUUAAGUGCUUUAAUCUAGUUAACUAAAGGAACAAAAAGGGCAAACAUGUAUAAACAAGUGAAAACCAGAAUUUUUAACCUUCUAACAUAAUAUCCUUCAUAGGUCUUUUAGCAAUUGGAUUAUUAAAAAGCCAGAAUACCUUAUUUAGUUAUUAAUCAUAAUAUGAGUACACAGGACAGCUUUACGUAUUUUCCCCUUUACCUUAAAUUUUUAAAUUUUUAUUUUCCAACAUUACCCAGUUAAAUGCACUUUUAUAACUUUUUAAAUACCCAAAAUUGACCUUUACAAAAUAUCAAUGAGAAUUUCAGUAUUCAACAUUAAUCACUGAUAAGCUUUUUUUUAGCACGUUUAUAGUAUAGGUAUUUAACGUUAAUACAUGAUUAACAGUGUAUCAAGCUUAUUGCACAAUCAUAAUAAAAUACACUAUUCAGUGCUAAUUAGGCAUUGCAAUUAUCAUUUGGUGUUGUACUGAAAGAAUUAUAUUGGUAACUGAUGCUUUUCAUCUUGUUAGUAUUUUUAAUCCCUCUCAAUAUAUAUAAUCUUUCAGUAGUUUCAUCAAAAGAAAUCUGUUCCAACAACUUUAAACAGAGGACCUUCAAGAGUGUGAGGUGUGUGUAAUAGUUUUAUCUUGAAGAGAACUCAGUGAAAGAUACUUUCUAGAUUAUGUUAAAAAGAUCCAAUCAACCGGCCCAUACUCAUCAUGAUUUAACUUUUACAGUUUUAUACAUAGGUUUCAUUGAAGGCUGUAAGAAAAUCUGAUGUUUAUAACAUUUUCCUUUGCCAGUGUUUGUCUGAAUUUUGCAAAGAUCAAGUAUCCAAAGUACGAAAUGCUAGUGUAUUUUUGGAAAACAAACCAAAACCCACUUACCCAAUAGAUUUUACAUAUUCUAAGAACGAGAAUUCAGUAGUCUGGUAAGUCUGGCUUCAUAACUCAUAGAUUUCUUGCACCAAAUAAGAUUGUCAGCAGUUUGGAAAGAAGAGUAAAGAAGAGGCUCUUCUUCUUACAUUGGUGUGUUCAAAAGUAAAAUAUAAACCAGUAUUUUUGUUACUAUAGCUUAGAGCACUAAAGAAGAGCCAUCUACCAGUUUCCAGAUUGUUUUAGAAGUAGUGUCUGAAGACCUUUUCAUUUCAACUUGUUCUUAUUCUAAAGAUUCCUGGCUCGUUAUAUACUAAAUUGUUUCUAGAAAUGCUUACUAGAUAGGUUGCUGUGAAAGGAAAGGUUUCGAAAA